UAGAUUCAUCUCGUUAAGAGAAACCCAAUUACACCCAUAAUCCCAUUUAUAGUCUUGACAAUUUACUCUGGGUUUAGCUUUUGUCUUGUAAUUUGAACAACUACCCAUCAUCCAUCCGAACUUCCCGCCCACAAAUACAACUUGGUCCUCACGCCUAUCUAGAGGAACAAGGCAGUAAGUAAAGGAGGAGGGGAAACCUUUGUUUAUAGAGCGAGAAAGACAACCCGCAUGACACUAGAACUGAAUUAGAAGGAGUAUUAUCGAUAACAGUUAGUGCGGGUACCACUGCCAAAAACCCUUGUGGCACUCUGCUGUUCUUGCAAGCUGUUGCUGUUGAUAAUUGCUACUGAUGUUACUAAUCGGCAUGCUCGUGGUGAUGCAACAAAUACUACAGCUACCUUACAUUCAGACCCCUUAGUACUGAUGCUGUUCCUGCUGGUUCCCGUAUUAGUGAUGUAACAGUAUAAUCAUCAUCAUUAGCAGCAGCAAAAAAAUAGUAGGGCUCAGUUGUUCAGAGCCCGAUUAGUGAUAAUCCUGGGUUAAUUCUUAAUAAGACCUAUAGAGUUAAUCCUCGAUUAGCGCUAAUCCAGCUUUGAACAACCCGGCCUAGUAGCAGAAAAAACAACACUUCGAUAAGUUGGUGGCUAUAAAUGUGCUUUCAUUUUCUUUCAUUACAAGCAUCACUGGCCAACUAUACCUUGCCACUGAGGCUCUAAAGUUGGUCAGUCCCUUGGCCUUACAGGUUUCAAUGUUAAAGUGUGGUUCAUAAAUUGUAAAUCUGGUAUUUUCUGGUUCAUUGUCAAUAUAAAGCUUUCUCUUCUUUUUUUAAA